UUAAAUAUAACAAACCAAACAAACCUAUAUGUUUUGGCUGAGAUAAUAAGGUAACAAGCGUGAACUGCCUUAUAACCGGGAUUAACAAUCUGAGUUAGUAUUCUUUAAGCAGGAGCUGGCUAUAUUUUACGAAUAUAGACUAGUAGACACAUCCCUCCUAUAACGUGGUGAGCAAGGUCAAGAUUUCUAUAUAUACACCAAGUUCAAAUUCUAAAUUCUAGCCUUCUCCUGGUUUGGUUUCCAGCCAAGUCCUUGCUAGUCCAGUGUAUUCUAUCAAUGUAUAAGCAAGUUAAGGUGAGCAGCUUGUGUUUCUUUAUUUUCAUGUUGAAUAGCUAUGACGGUAGAUGUUAUAGCAUGUGAUGUUGACUAUGACUAGUAUGGAGAUUAUAUUAUUUCAUGUUGCUUGUAUUAAAGUCUAAUAUGAUAGUUUAUAAGGAACAUGAAUUAACUAAUUUGUAUGUAUCGGUUAAUUAUGCGGAAG
rnacentral:lncRNA from 1 species